GAUGAACGCUGGCGGCGUGCCUAAUACAUGCAAGUCGAGCGAACGGACGAGAAGCUUGCUUCUCUGAUGUUAGCGGCGGACGGGUGAGUAACACGUGGAUAACCUACCUAUAAGACUGGGAUAACUUCGGGAAACCGGAGCUAAUACCGGAUAAUAUUUUGAACCGCAUGGUUCAAAAGUGAAAGACGGUCUUGCUGUCACUUAUAGAUGGAUCCGCGCUGCAUUAGCUAGUUGGUAAGGUGACGGCUUACCAAGGCAACGAUGCAUAGCCGACCUGAGAGGGUGAUCGGCCACACUGGAACUGAGACACGGUCCAGACUCCUACGGGAGGCAGCAGUAGGGAAUCUUCCGCAAUGGGCGAAAGCCUGACGGAGCAACGCCGCGUGAGUGAUGAAGGUCUUCGGAUCGUAAAACUCUGUUAUUAGGGAAGAACAUAUGUGUAAGUAACUGUGCACAUCUUGACGGUACCUAAUCAGAAAGCCACGGCUAACUACGUGCCAGCAGCCGCGGUAAUACGUAGGUGGCAAGCGUUAUCCGGAAUUAUUGGGCGUAAAGCGCGCGUAGGCGGUUUUUUAAGUCUGAUGUGAAAGCCCACGGCUCAACCGUGGAGGGUCAUUGGAAACUGGAAAACUUGAGUGCAGAAGAGGAAAGUGGAAUUCCAUGUGUAGCGGUGAAAUGCGCAGAGAUAUGGAGGAACACCAGUGGCGAAGGCGACUUUCUGGUCUGUAACUGACGCUGAUGUGCGAAAGCGUGGGGAUCAAACAGGAUUAGAUACCCUGGUAGUCCACGCCGUAAACGAUGAGUGCUAAGUGUUAGGGGGUUUCCGCCCCUUAGUGCUGCAGCUAACGCAUUAAGCACUCCGCCUGGGGAGUACGACCGCAAGGUUGAAACUCAAAGGAAUUGACGGGGACCCGCACAAGCGGUGGAGCAUGUGGUUUAAUUCGAAGCAACGCGAAGAACCUUACCAAAUCUUGACAUCCUUUGACAACUCUAGAGAUAGAGCCUUCCCCUUCGGGGGACAAAGUGACAGGUGGUGCAUGGUUGUCGUCAGCUCGUGUCGUGAGAUGUUGGGUUAAGUCCCGCAACGAGCGCAACCCUUAAGCUUAGUUGCCAUCAUUAAGUUGGGCACUCUAAGUUGACUGCCGGUGACAAACCGGAGGAAGGUGGGGAUGACGUCAAAUCAUCAUGCCCCUUAUGAUUUGGGCUACACACGUGCUACAAUGGACAAUACAAAGGGCAGCGAAACCGCGAGGUCAAGCAAAUCCCAUAAAGUUGUUCUCAGUUCGGAUUGUAGUCUGCAACUCGACUACAUGAAGCUGGAAUCGCUAGUAAUCGUAGAUCAGCAUGCUACGGUGAAUACGUUCCCGGGUCU
rnacentral:rRNA from 1 species